GGCGGGGGUAGCCGUGCGUCGGAGGCCUUAAGGUGGACGGCUGGGCCGGGGAGACCCAGCCGUUUCGGGCGACACUGAAGUCGAGGAGACGGGCGUCGGCCUUCGGUGCAGCUCUGCACCCGUUGAGGCUGCGGCGGCUUCUUUUUCCUGUUCCGCGGGUGCCGGCGUGUUUGUGUGUGUCUCUGUGUGUGUGACCCGCGGCGACUUCCCCCGUCGCCCCUGCUUCGGAGGCGCCUGCGCAGGCCUCGCGUCUGCCACGGAGCUUUGCCGUGGAACGAGUGCGCCUACUUUUUCGCGACGCCCCGAACUCGUUGACGCUCGGUGGUGAGGCAGGGGAUUCCCUGUGACCAGAGGGCGCUUGCGCGGGUCCGCUAGCUCCGGCCCAGGCGCCUGCGCGAGCCCCCACCCCCCCGGCGCCGACCCCGCCUCUCUUAGCCGGCCCCUCGACAGGGCCGGAGCCGCCGGCGGUGGGGCGGC
rnacentral:lncRNA from 1 species